rnacentral:misc_RNA from 1 species
AACGCACAUUGCGCCCUUUGGUAUUCCGAAGGGCAUGCCUGUUCGAGCGUCAUUAUCACCCCUCAAGCCCGGCUUGGUGUUGGACGUCUAGCCAGUCUCUUCAGGAGCCGGCUCGCCCCAAAGAUAAUGACGGUGGUCUGUGAAGUCACCAGUACGACGAGCCCCUGGGCAUGUACUGUUCUUCGAGUUCCAGCGCCGGUCUUCGCUCACGACGUGAGCAAAAACUUUUUUCUGAAAGGUUGACCUCGGAUCAGGUAGGGAUACCCGCUGAACUUAA